GUAUUCUAAAAAAAAAAGCGUCUCCCUCCAGUCGAGCCCCACAUCCACAUCCAGAUGAGCCACGAGGCCGGCGGCGACGAGAUAGCCCUCCGCUGCCGCCACCCGCCGACGGCCGCGCCGCUGGACGACGAGGACCUCCUCGGGGAGAUCCUCCUCCGCGUCCCCCCGCUUCCCUCCUCGCUCCUCCGCGCCUCCCUCGUCUCCAAGCUACGCGGAGGCGUCGCCACCGCCCCCUCCUUCAGCCGCCGCUUCGUCGCCCACCACCGGAGGCCCCCCGUCCUCAGUUUCUUCUAGAAGGGCGACGGGGAGCUCGUCUUCACACCCAUCCUCGACCCCGCUGCUUCUGUGACGUCGCCUCCAAUAUUGCAAAGGCUCUCCGCUCCAAAUUUGUUUUGAGCAUUUUCUUCAAUGUGCCAAAAUCAAUUGCUUGGUGAAGUUCCAGUUUAUGUUUACUAUCCAAUAGUAAUUUCUAAGAGGAUACAUCUCAAGCAGGGGAUGUCCUUCCACAUAGUUACUUUACUGUGAUCAUCAUUGUAUAAUGAUCGUGUCGGUGUAUCUGUUUCUCUGAUGCUUGGAAACAUUGAGGAGGGGAUGUCUGUCCAAAAUAGAUGGUUUCCGUCAUGGAUUCAUCUUCUUUUGAUGAUACGGAAAUAGCUUGCUUACGUCUUCUUGUGAAUUCUUCGUUACGACGGUGUAGCAACGCUUGCCUUUCUCCCGCUGCCACAUGAUCCCUGUGUUUUACAGUAAAUGUAGAAGUGCUCUCCUCCUGUUCAGUUGCGAGAUAUUCAGGGUUCUCCAUUGCUAUUGAAUCUUUGGAUGGUGUGUUGCGUUCCAAUUGAGGGCUUCACGGCGUUUUUUGAGUUUCUCAUGCCUUUCUUCAUCGGUCAUGCGUUCAUACCGCUCUCUGUCCCUCUUUCUUCUUUUUUCCUUAGCAUCCAUUAUUUGUGAUUAUGGUCCAAAUGUUUUCCUGCAGGAUGGAAAGAAUUUUUUUUAAUGCAAUACAAGAUAAUUUGUUGCUAGACUGGCCUGGAAUGUGAAGUCAAUAUGUAUCGGAUGAGCAUCCUGGCAUGUGAGAUGCAUGAAACAUGGUAUUUUUUUACUGGACAUCAAACAUAGGACUGAUGAGUAUCAAAUACCAUGUGUGAGAUUCAAGAAUUCAUUGGGAAGAACGAAAACUGGAGACAAGGAACAUACUUGACGGCUCCUUUGUUUUGGUUGGCGCUGUAGCUUGGAGAUUGCUUGGCGUGUACUAAGCUGGUGGCACUUUUUUCUCUGGGCGUUCAAUCUCUGAGAGCUGGGUAUUUAUAUUAGUAUAGAACCUUUGCCAGUCCGAGUUGGUGUAUGGUUCCCGAUUGGUUCCAUGUCCGAGUCCAAGUUGGUGUAUGUUUUCCAUGUCCGAGUCCAAGUUGGUGUAUGCUUCUGAUUGUAUUUUUUUCUUCCACGUUGUCAGGACCCCGACUCGAUGUCACAUCGAUCUAGCCGGUAACACCUCA